UACAGAGGGUGCGAGCGUUAAUCGGAAUUACUGGGCGUAAAGGGCGCGUAGGUGGUUUAUUAAGAUUGAUGUGAAAGCCCUGGGCUUAACCUAGGAAUGGCAUCGAUGACUGAUGAGCUAGAGUACUGAAGAGGGUAGUGGAAUUUCCGGUGUAGCGGUGAAAUGCGUAGAGAUCGGAAGGAACACCAGUGGCGAAGGCGGCUACCUGGACAGAUACUGACACUGAGGCGCGAGAGCGUGGGGAGCAAACAGG
rnacentral:rRNA from 1 species